rnacentral:tRNA from 1 species
UGGCCCCAUAGCGGGAGACCGCGCCGUAGGUGGGCUUCACCCCCACGGUGCCGGUGACCGCGCCGGGCUGGCGGAUCGAACCGCCGGUGUCGG